UACAGGGGGGGCAAGCGUUGUUCGGAAUUACUGGGCGUAAAGGGCUCGUAGGCGGCCAACUAAGUCCGACGUGAAAUCCCAAAGCUUAACUUUGGAACUGCAUCGGAUACUGGAUGGCUUGAAUUCGGGAGAGGGAUGCAGAAUUCCAGGUGUAGCGGUGAAAUGCGUAGAUAUCUGGAGGAAUACCGGUGGCGAAGGCGGCAUCCUGGACCGACAUUGACGCUGAGGAGCGAAAGCUAGGGGAGCAAACGGG
rnacentral:rRNA from 1 species